GAGCAACGAUCCUUGGCGCAGCCCGCCGCAGCCUUGCUUCCCUUCUUCCCCACCACCACUACAAGGCAACUCUUUCUUCACCGUUGUCGUUGUUUCCCCGGCCAGCGACCUUCGACCACCGCUCGACCUUCUCGCUGCUCCAUCUCGUUCAAAAAAAAAAAAAAACACGAGAGGAAGAAAAGCCGCAGCCACCCCUGCGUCCCUUGCUUCCGGCCAGCCUACCCACCACUGCUGCUCUCCGGCCAGCGCCCACCAUCGCCCCGCUUCCCGGCCGGUGACCACAACCGCCGUUGUUCCUCGGCUAGGAGACGACGCUGCCAGCGUCCAUCCCAACCCUACUACCGCCG
rnacentral:lncRNA from 1 species